rnacentral:lncRNA from 10 species
CCUAAGACACCACCCCAGCCAGCAUGGCCGGCAGGAGCGCACCGCGCUGUCUCCCUCCAGGGAUCCGCACCGCCCUACAAUCCUGCUUUGUGCUGAGAUUGUAGUCCUGCAGGCGUACAACUAACAAGCUGGGUGCAGAUAAGAGACUACAGCUCCCCGCAUCCCAAGCAAAGGUCCCUCCUCUACGGAGCCCCUCCACGCGUCCACUGCGGUUCCGCCGUGCCAAGGGGAGCUUGGCUGUUCACGGGCCUCACCUGCUAGCGAGAAGAUAGCUUGGCCGGGCGGCUGAUCUCACCUUGUAAUUCUGACACUGUGUCUCCCGGGCUUGUCGGCUUCAUGACUUGUGCCCAAAGUUUGAUUUCUCGCAGACCAGGAGGACCCAUUGGACCCCCGGGCUGGCUGCAGGGCCCACACCUGGGUUAGACCUCGCACAGGGACGCUGCUGCCACUGUAAUAAAGCGUGCCUACACGCUUCUGAAACUGGUGUAGGAACAACCUCAGUUCUGUGAAAGGCGGACGCAGCAGGACAGAAUCUCCGUGGACAUCUGUCUGGAGGAGCAAUUUUACUGCGACAUUUUAAAGAAACAAAUUUAAUUGAUUUCCAAGGCUAGAGUGUGACAGAAAUCUAAAAGAUCAACUUCAUCGUGCAGGAAGGAGCAUAGAAAAAUAGAGAAAAGAAGAAAACAGCAAACCAUUCUGAGUACCGUGGAAACAAACUAAAAGUGGGCUUAGAAGGAAAACAGAGGAAGAAGGUCUGAGUAGUCCCAGGGACUCCAGAGGCCAAGAUGGGAAAGCCACCCAGGCGAGACAGGGGAGAUGGAAGCCACAGGGAAUCACUAUCACAUACCUCUGCUGGACCUGAAUGGUCCUGGCGCCAGCUAGAGCCAUCUGGUCGACCUUAGACAUGUCAAGGCAGGAGCCAUCUGAUCGACCUUAGACUUGGCAAGCUGGUGGCUAAGUCCAGUGCUCACUGCCGACAUCUGUCUCAAAAUAAACAAAAAGUCCAACAGUGAAUAUUUAACAAUAACAAAAAUAUAAUACCAAACAAUAUUAAAGACCAAUAAAUAAGUGGGAGUGAACAAAGGUAAAAGGUAACUAAUAUCACAAUUAAAAUAUUCUGCUAUCUCUCACUCUCUCUCUUCCCCUUUCCAUUUGUCACACCCAGGCUGGAAUGUGACAAAAAAAUAUAAAAGGUCAAUUUCAUCAUGCAGGAAUGAGUGUAGAAAAAGGGAGAAAAGAACAAAGAAGAAAAACAACAGCAAGUCUCUCUAAAACUUCAGUUAGUUUCACUGUAGAAAAAAAAAUUGAAAGUGGGGUUAGGAAAAAAAGGAAGGAGGAGGAUAAGUUCAGGUAGCCUGAGGGACUAGGGAAGCCAAGUGGGAAGACCACCUGGGUGACACUGGGAAGAUCGAGACCACAGUGAAUCAUGAUCACAUCCCUCUGCUGUACCUGAAUAGUACUUCCAAAGGCAGGAGCCAUCUGGUCAUCCUUAGUCAUGGCAAGGCGAGAGCCAUCUGGUUGACCUUAGAUAAGGUGAGAGCCAUCUGGUUGACCUUAGACUUGGCAAGCUGGCAGCUAAGUCCAAUCCUCUCAGCUGACAUCUUGGAGAGAGAGACAGACAGACAGACACAAACAGCGAGACAGGAGAAAAUCUUAAUUGUGUUAUUAAUUACUUUUCACCUUUGUUCACUCCAAACAGAAAAAAAUCCAACAGUGAAUAUUUAACAAUAACAAAGAUAUAACUACAAACAAUAUUAAAGACAAAUAAAUGGGAGUGAACAAAGGUAACAGGUAAUUAAUAUCACAAUUAAAUUCUUCUAAUCUCUUUCUAUCUCUCACUCUCGAUUUCUCUCUGUCAACUUCAUCAAGCAGGAAGGAGCACAGGAAAAUAUAAAGAGAAAACAAGAAAAAAAUAGAAAGUCACUCUAAGGACUGUGGAAACAAACUGAAAGUAAGGUUAGGAAAAACAAAGGAAGGAUGUCGAAAUAGUCUGAGGGAAUCAGGAGGCCGAGAUCAUCAGAAGGCCACCCUGUAGAGACCUGGAAGACGCCCAGGGCACAGUGAAUCACGAUCCGAUCCCUCUGCUGGACCUGAAUGGUACUGCUGCUGCUGAGAGCCAUCCUCUCGACCCUAGACUUACCAAGCUGGUGGCUAAAUACAACCCUCGUGGGAAGAUCUGUCUCAAAAGAAAAAAAUCCAACAGGGAAUAUUUAACAGUAACAAAGAACUAACCAUAACAAUAUUAAAGACAAAUAAAUAAGUGGGAGUGAACAAAGGUGAAAGGUCAAUUAUAUCACAAUUAAGAUCUUCUCUCUCUUUCUCCAUUUGUCACAACCAGGCUGGAUUGUUCCAAAAAAAAAAAAUCUAGAAGGUCAAAUUCAUCAUGCAGGAAGGAGGGUAAGAAUAUAUAUAGAGAGAAAAGAACAGAGAAGAAAUACAACAGCAACUCACUGUAAGUACUGUAGAAACAAACUGAAAGUUGGGUUAGAAAAAAAAAAAGAAGAAGGUCCAAGUAGUCUGAAGGACUCGGGAGGCCAAGAUGGGAAGUCCACCCAGAUGACACCGGGGAGAUCGAGGCUGCAGAGAAUAAGGAUCACAUCCCUCUGCUGGACCUGAAUGGUACUGAUGCUGUUGAGAGCCAUCUGGUCCUCAGACAUGGGAAGGCAAGAGCCAUCUGUUCGACCUUAGACAUGGCAAGAUGAAAGCUAAGUCCAGUGCUCGCUGCCAACACGUUUCUCAAAAUAAAUAAACAAAAAUUUCAACAGUAAAUAUUCAACAAUAACAAAGAAAUAAUAACAACUUUAAAGACCAAUAAGUAAAUAAGUGAAAGUGAACAAAGGUAAUAGGUGAUUAAUAUCACAAUUAAGAUCUUCUAUCUCUCUACUUCUCUGUUACUCUCUAGCUGUCUCUGUUUGUCAAACCCAUGCUAGAGUGUGAUUAAAAGAAAUAUAAAAGUCAACUGCUUCCUGCAGGAAGGAGCAUAGGGACAUAACGAGAGAAAAGAACAAAGGAAAAAAAAAAAAAACAGCAAGUCACUCUAUGUAUGUGGAAACAAACUGAAAGUGGGGUUAGAGAAAAAAAAGAAGGUCCGAGUAGUCUGAGGGACUCAAGUGGCUGAGAUGGGAACACCAGCCGGGUGAGACUGGAGAGAUCAAGGUUACAGUGAAUCACAAUUACCUCCCUCUGCUGGACCUGAACGGUAUUACCGGAGGCAAGAGCCAUCUGGUCGACCUUAGACAUGGCAAGGCAAAAGUCCUCUGGUUGACCUUGGUCCAAUGCUCGUGGCUGACAUCUCUCUCAAAAUAAGUAAGCAGAAAAUCCACCAGUGAAUAUUUAACAAUAAAAAAAGAUAACAUUGUGUCAAUAAAUAGGAGUGAACAAAGGUGAAAAGUAAUCGAUAACACAAUUAAGAUGUUCUCCUCUCUCUCUCUCUCUCUGUUUGUAACACCCAGACUGGAGUGGGUUCAUAUUUAUCAUGCUGGAAGGAGUGUAGAAAAAUAGAGGAAUGAAGAAGGAAAACAACGCAAGUCAUUCUAUGUACUGUGGAAACAAACUGACAGUGGGUUUAGAAAAAAACAACAGAGGAAGAAGGUCUGAGUAGUCCCAGGUAAUUGGGAAACCGAGAAGGGAAGACCACUCGGGUGAGACCAGGGAGAUCGAAGCCACAGUAAAUCACGAUCACAUCCCUCUGCUGGACCUGAACGGUACUGCCGCCUGCAAGAGCCAUCUGGUCGACCUUAGACAUGACAAGGCGAGAACCAUCUGGUCAACCUUAGACAUGGCACUCUUGUGGCUAAGUCCAACUCUAGUUGCUGAAAUACGUCUCAAAAAAACAAAAACAAUCCAACAGUAAAUGUUUUACAAAAACAAAAAAAUAAACAAUAUUAAAGAACAAUGUAUAAAUAAGUGGGAGUGAACCAAGGUAAAAGGUAAUUAAUAUCACCAUUAAGAUCUCCUCUCUUUCUCUUUUUCUCUCCAUUUGUGAUACCCAGGCUGGAGUGUGACAAAGGAAAAUCUAAAAGGUCAACUUCAUUUACAGGAAAGAGCAUAGGAAAACAGACAAAAGAACAAAGAAGAAAAACAAUAGCAAGUCACUCUAAGUACUGUGGAAAUAAACUAAAUGUCAGGUUAGGAAUAGAACAGUGAAAGAAGGUCCCAGUAGUCCCAAGGACUCGGGAGGCUGAGACACGAAGACUGCCCAGGUGAGACUACAGAGACUGAAGUUGCAGUGAAUCAUCACAUCCUGCUACUGGACUUGAACAGUACUGCUGCUGAUGAGAGCCAUCUGGGCGACCUUCGACAUGGCAAGGUGCGAGCCAUCUGAUCAGCCUUAGACAUGGCAAGGCAAGAGCCAUCUGGUCAACCUUAGAAGUGACAAGGGACAGCCACCUGGUCGACCUUUGACAUGGCAGGAUGACAGCCAUCUGGUCGACCUUAGAGAUGGGAAUGCAAGAGGCUUCAGGUCCACCUUCAACAUGGGUGAAGUGUAACCAAAAAAAAAAAAAAAAUCCAAAGGUCAAACUCAGUUUGCAGGAAGGAGCAUAGGAGAAUAAAGGAUGGAACAAAGAAGAAAAAGAACAGCAAGUUACUCUGAGUAUUGUGGAAACAAACUGAAAUUAGAGUGAGAGAGAGAGAGAAAAAAAAAGAAGGUCCGAGCAAUCUCAGAUAUAUGAGAGGCCAAGAUGGGAAGAUCACUUGGGUAAGACUGGGAAGAUUGAGUCUGCAGUGAGUCACAGUCGCAUCAUUCUGCUGGAUUUGAAUGGUACUGCUUCUGGCCCAAGUUGUCUGGGCAACCUUAGACAUGGUAAGGCAAGAGCCAUCUGAUCAACAUUAGACAUGGCAAGGUGAAAGCCAUCUGGUCGACAGGGAUUCUAAUAGAAGACACUCUGGGCCGAUGGCAGACGUCUAAUAAUAGAGACAAAGGGUGAGCCCGGACAUUUUAAUGGGAGAGAAGCCUGGAUGACCCCAGGUAUUCUAAUGUUAGAAACACCUACGUGACUCCAGGCCUCCUAAUGGUGGAGACUCCCAGCCUACCCCAGGCAUUCUCUUGUGAGAGACUUCUGGCUGACCCCAGGCAGUCUAUUUAUGGAGACACCUGGGAGACCCCAGGCAUUCUGGGAGGAACUCCUGGCCAACCGCAGGGAGUCUAAUGAUAGAAACACCUGAACGACCACAGGAAUUCUAAUGGAAGAGACCCCUGGCAGGCCCCAGGCAGUCUAAUGAUAGAGGCACCUGGGUGGCCCCAGGUAUUCUAACCAGAGAGACUCCUGGCCAACCCCAGGCAGUCUAAUCAUAGAGACACCUGGGUGACCCCAGGCAUUCUAAUGAGAAAGACUCCCGUGUGACAGCAGGCAGUCUAAUGAUAGAGACACCUGGGUGACCCUAAGCAUUCUAAUAGGAAAGACUCCUGGCUGACCCCAGGCAGUCUAAUGAUACAGAUACCUGGGUGACCCCAGGCAUUCUAAUGUGAGAGAUGCCCUGCUACAUUCAGGAAGUCUAAUGAUAGAGACAAUUUGACGACCCCAGGCAUUCAAAUGGGAAGGCUCCCAGCCAACCCCAGGCAUUCUAAUGGCAGAGACUCCCCGCUGACCCUAGGCAUUCUAAUGAUAGAGACACCUGGGCCACCCCAGGUAUGGGAGAAACUCUCAGGUAAACUCAAGUAUUCUAACAGAGGUACUCCUGGCUGGCCCCAGGCAGUCUAAUGAUAGAGACAGCUGGGUGACCACGGGUGUUCUAAUGGGAGAGACUCCUGGUCAACCCCAGGCAGUCUAAUUAUUAAAGACACCUGGGCUACCCCAGACAUUCUAAUGGGAGCAACUCCCGACCAACCCCAGGCAGUCUAAUGAUAGAGACAUGUGGGCCAUCACAAGAAUUCUAAUGGAAGAGGUUCCUGGCUGACCCCAGGAGAGACACCAUUCUAAUGGGAGAGACUCUGGGCCGUUUCCAGGCUGUCUAAUGAUAGAGAAACCUGGGCGACUGCAGGCAUUUUAAUGAGAGCGGCUCCUGUCCGAACACCAGCAGUCUAAUGAUAGAGACACCUGGGCAACCCCAGACAUUCUAAUGGGAGAAAAUCCUGUGCAAUCCCAGGCAGUCUAAUUAUAAAGACACCUGGGCAACCCCAGGCAUUCUAAUGGGAGAGACCCCCGGCUGACACCAGGCAUUCUUAUGGGAAUGACUCCUGGCUGAGCCAGGCAGUCUAAAGAUAGAGACACCUGGGCAUACCAAAGCAUUCUAAUGGGAUAGACUAACGGCUGACCCAAGGUAGUCUAAUGAUAGAGACACCUGGAUGGCCCCAGGCAUACUAAUGGAAGAGACUCCUGGCUGACACCAAGCAUUCUAAUGAUAGAGACAACUGAUCAACCCUAGGCAUUGAAAUGGAAGAGACUCCUUCUCGAACCCAAGCAUUCUAAUAAUAGAGACAGCUAAUCAACUACAGGCAUUUUGGAGAAACUCCCGAUCAACCACAGACAUUCUAAUAAUAGAGACACCUGGGCGACCACAGGCAUUCCAAUGGGAGAGACUCCUGGCCAACACCAGGUGGUCUAAUUAUAGAGACACCUGGGUGACCCCACGCAUUCAAAUGGGAGAGACUCCUGGCCGACCCCAGGUGGUCUAAUUAUAAAAAAAAAAAAACCUAGGUGACCCCAGUCAUUCUAAUGGCAGAGACUAUCAGCUGAACCCAGGUAUUCUAAUGGGAGAGACUCCUGGCUGACCCUAGACUACCUUAGGUAGUCUAGUUAUAAACACACCUGGCCAAACCCAGGCAUUUUAAUGGGGAAGACUACUGGCCAAUCCAAAGCAUUCUAAUGAUAGAGACACCUAAGCGACUCCAGGCAUUUUAAUGGGAAAGACUCCCAGCCGACCUGAGACAUUCUAAUGGAAGAGAGCCUUGGUUGACCCCAGGCAAUCAAAGAAUAGUAACACCUGGGCGACUCCAGGCAUUCUAAUAGGAAAGAGUCCUAGAUGACACCAGGAAAUCUAAUUAUAAAAACACCAGGGUGACCCAAGGCAUUGUAAUGGGAGACACUCCUGGCAGAACCCAACAGUCUAACGAUUGAGACACCAGUGCAACUCAAAGCAUUGUAAUGGAAGAGACUCCCGCAGACACCAGACAGUCUAAUAAUAAAUUCACCUGGACGACCCAAGGCAUUCCAAUGGGAAAGACUCCCAGCCGACACCAAGUAGUCUAAUGAUAAAAACACAUGAGUGAUUCCCGGCAUUCUAAUGGGAGAAACUACCAGUUGAUCACAGGCUGUAUCAUGAUAGAGACACAUGCAUUUUAAUGGGAGACACUUCUGGCUGACCUGGGGCAGUCUAAUGAUGGAAACACCUGGGCAAAACCAGGUAUUAUAAUGGGAGAGACUGCUGGCUGAAGCCAGGCAUUGUAAUGAUAGAGACACCUGGGCAAUCCAGGCAUUCUAAUGGGACAGACCUUUGGCUGAUUCCAGGGUUUCUAAUAAUAGAGACACCUGGUCGACCCCUGGCUUUCUAAUGGGAGAGACUUGUGUGGACCGCCAGGCAGUCUAAUGAUAGAGACACCUCGGGGACCCCAGGAAAUCCAAUGGGAGAAACUUCCAGGUGACCCCAUUCAUUCUAAUGAUAGAGACACCUGGGCGACCAGAUGCAUUUUAAUGGAAGAGACUCCUGAACGACCUCAGGCAUUCUUAUGAUAGAGACAGUUGGGAGACCCUAGGCAUUCUAAUAAAUCGAACUCCUGGGCGAUCACAGGCAGUCUAAGAUUAGAGACACCUGGGUGACCACAGACAUUCUAAUGGGAGAGACUCCUUGCUGACCACAGGCAGUCUAAGGAUAGAAACACGUUAGCAUUCGCCAAGACACCUUGGCGAUCACAGGCAUUCUAAUGAAAGAGACUCAUGGCCGACCCUAGGCAGUCUAAUAAUAGACAUACUUGGGUGACCCCAAAAAUUCUAAUGUGAGAGACUCCCAGUUGACGUCAGGCAGUUUAAUAAAUGUGAGAGACUCCCGGCCGACCCCAGGUACUCUAAUGAUAGAAGAACCUGGGCCACAUCUGGCAUUCUAAUGGAAGAGACUCCUGGCCGACCCCAGGCGGUCUAAUGAUAAACCUGGGCGGCCCAAUGCAUUCUAAUGGGAAAAACUCUGGUCCAAACCCCAGCAUUUUAAUGGGAGAGACUCCUGGCUGACCCCAGGUGGUCUAACUAAAGAGACACCUGAGAGAACCCAGGCAUUCUAAUGGGAAAGACUACCGGCCAACCCCAGGCAUUCUAAUGAUAGAGACACCUUGUUGAGCCCAGUCUUUCUAAUGGAAGAGAAUCCCAUCCAACCCAAGACAGUCUAAUAAGACACCUGGGCGACCCCAGGCAUUCUAAAGAGACACCUAGGCGACUCCAGGCGAUAUUAUAGCAGAGACUCCCAGCCAACACCAGACAAUGAAAGAAACUCCCAGCGGAUGCCAGGCAGUCUAAUGAUAGAGACACCUGGGCAACCCCAGGCAUUGUAAUGGGAGAGACUCCGGUCCAAUCCCAGGCAUUCUAAUGAGAGAAACACCUGGCUGACCCCAGGCAGUCUAAUAAUAGAGAACCUGGGUGAACCCAGGAAUGCUACUGAAAGAGACUCCCGGCCAAUCUCAGGCAGUCUAAUGAUACAGACCUCUGUGCAACCCCAGGCAUUCUAAUAAUAAAGACUUCCAGCCGAACCCAGACAGUCUAAUGAUAGAGAGACCUUAACGUCCCCAGACAUUCUAACGAGAAGAACUUCUUGCUGACCACAGGCAGUCUAAUGAUAGAGACACCUGGACAACUCCGGGCAUUCUCAUGGGAGAGAAUCUUGGCCAAACCAAGGCAUUCUAAUUAUAGAGACACCUGGGUAAGCCCAGGCAUUCUAAUGGGAAAGACUCUUGGCCGAACCCAGGCAUUCUAAUGAGAGUCUCCUGGUUGACCCAAGGCAGUCUAAGGAUAGAAACGCCUGGGCGACUCCAGAAAUUCUUAUGGGAGAGACUCCUGGUUAAUCCCAGGCAGUCUAAUGAUACAGACACCUGGGCAACACGAGGAAUUCUAAUUAGAGAGACUCCUGGCCUAUCCAGACAGUCUAAUAACAAAGACACUUGGACAAACCCAGGUAUUCUAACGUGAGAGACUCACGGCCAACCCCAGGCAGUCUAAAUAUAGAAACACCUGGGAGACCCCUGGCAUUUUAAUGAAAAAGACUCCGGUCCGACCCCAGUCAGUCUAAUUAAAAAGACACCUGAGUGACCCCCGGCAUUCUAACAGGAAACACUCCUGGCUGACCCCAGGCUGUCAAAUUAUGGAGAUACAUUGUCUACCCCAGGCAUUUUGAUGGGAGAGAAUCCUGGCCAAACUCAAGCAUUUUAAUGGUAGAGACAACUGGGUGAACCCAGGCAUUGUAAGGGGAUAGGUUCUUGGCCGACACCAGGCAUUCUAAUGAUAGGAACAUCUUGUCAACCCCAGGCUUUCUAAUGGGAGAGACUCCCAUCCAAACCCAGGGAGUCUAAUGAUAGAGACACCUGGAAAGCAUUCAAAUGGAAGAGGUACCAGCUGACCCCAGGCAUUCUAAUGAUAGAGACACCUGAGCGACCAGUGGCAUUCUAAUGAUGGAGACAUUUGAGCGACCACAGGCUUUCUAAUGGGUGACACUCCUGGCUAAACCCAGUGUGUCUAAUGAUAGAGACACCUGGGAGACCCCAAACAUUCUAAUGGGAAGGCUGCCAGCCUAACCCAGGCAUUUUAAUGACAGAGACACCUGGUCGACCCCAGGCUUUCCAAUGGGAGAGACUUUCAUACAAACCAGGCAGUCUAAUAAUAGAGAAACCUGGUUGGUCCCAGACAUUACAAAGGGAGAGACUCCUGGCUGACCCCAGACAGUCUAAUGAUAGAGACAUCUGGUGACACCACACAUUCAAAUGAGAGAGACUCCCCACUGAGCCAAGGCAGUCUAAUGAUAGAGACACCUGGGCAAUCCCAGGUGUUCUAAUGGGAGAGACUCCCGACCGACCCCAGGCGUUCUAAUGAGAGAGACUUCUAGCUGACCACUGGCAGACUAAUGAUAAAGACACUGGGGUGAACCUAGCCAUUCUAACGGGAGAGACUCCCAGCUGACACCAGGCAGUCUAAUGAUAGAGACACUUGGGCGACAACAGGCAUUCUAAUGUGAAAGACUCCUGGCUGACUCAAAGCUGUCUAAUUAUAGAGACAGCUGCAUGAACCCAGGCAUUCGAGAGAAAGAUACCCCUGGCCGACCCCAGGCAGUCUCAUCAUAUAAAAACCUGGGCAAUUCCAGACAUUCUAAUGGGAGAGACUCUCGGCCAACACAAGGCAUUCUAAUGGGAGAGAUUCCUUGCAGACAGCAAGCAAUCUAACAAUAGGGACACCUGGGCAACUGAAGGCAUUGAAAUGAGAGAGACUCCUGGUCAACCCCAGGUAAUCUAAUGAAAGUAAAAACUGGGCGACCCAAGGCAUUCUAACGAAAGAUACUUUCAGCCAACACCAGGUGGCCUAGUGACAGAAACACGAGUGACCCCCAGAAUUUUAAUGGAAGAGACUCCUGGUUGAGCCCAGGCAGUCUAAUGAUAGAGACACCUGUGCAACCCUAUGCAUUCUAAUAAAAAAGAGUCACCACCGACCCCAGGAUUUCUACUGAUAGAGACCCCUGGGCAACCCCAGACAUUUUAAUGGGAGAGAUUCCUGGCCGACCCCAGGAAAUCUAAUAGGAGAAACUGCUGGCCUACCUAAGCAGUAUGAGCUUAGAGACACCUGGGCAUCCACAGGCAUUCCAAUGAGAGAGGAUUGCGCCAGCCCAAGGUAGUCUAAAAAUAGAGACAACUGGGUGACCUCAGGCAUUCUAAUGAAAGGGACCCCCUGCCAACUCCAGGUAGUCUAAUGAUAGAAACACCUGGGCGACCCCCGUCAUUCUAAUGGGAGAGACUCCUGGUCGACCCCAGACGGUCUAAUUAUAGAAACACCUGGGUGACCCCAGGCAUUCUAAUGAUAGAGACACAUGGGCGACUUCAGGCAUUCUAAUGGAAAAGACACCCUGCUUACCCCAGGCAUUCUAAUGAAACAGAUUCCUGGCUGAUAUUAGGCAGCCCUAUCAUAGAGGCAUCUAGGCUACCGCAGAAAUUCUAAUGGGAGAGACUACUAGGCGACUCCAGGCAGUCCAAUGAUACAGACACUUGGGUGACCCUAGGCAUUCUAAUGGCAGAGAACCCUGGCUGACCCCAGGCAGUACAAUAAUAGAGACCCCUGGACAACCCUAGGCAUUUCAAUGGGAAACACUCCCAGCUGUCCCUGAACAUUCUAAUGAUAGAGGAACCUUGGAGACCUCAGGCAUUCUAAUGAAAGAGACUCCUGGCUGACCCCAGGCAUUCUAAUGGGAGAAAUUGCUGGCCAACCUCAGGCCACCUAAUGAUAAAGACACCUGGGCGACCACAGGCAUUCUAAAGGGAGAGACUACCGGUCGACCACAGGCUGUCUGAUGAUAGAGACACCUGCGUGAGCCCAGGCAUUCUAAUAAUAGAGACGCGUUGGUGACCCUCAUCAUUUUAAUAAGAGAGAUUCCUGGGUGAACCCAGGCAUUGUCUUAAGAGAGACUCCUGACUGAAUUCAGGCAGCCUAAUUAUAGAGACACCUGGGUGAACCGAAGCAUUCUAAGGGAAGAGAUCCUUGACCAACAGCAGGCAGUCUUAUGAUAGAGACACCUGGGUGACCACAGGCCUUAUUAUGGGAGAGACUUUUUGCCGAACUUAGGCAGUCUAGUGAUAGAGACAGCUGGGCCACACUAGGCAUUCUUAUGGCAGAGACCCCUGACCAACCCCAGACAUUGUAAUUAUAGAGCAACAUGUUUGACCCCAGGCAUUUUAAUGGGAGAGACUCUCGGUCAACCCCAGGGAUUUUUAUGGGAGAGACUACUGGCCAACACAAGGUAGUCUAAUGAAAAAGACACCUGGGCAACCCCAUGCAUUCCAGUGGGAGAGACUCCUGGCCCAACCAAGUUAGUCUAAUAGGGACACCUGGGUAACCACAGGAAUUCUAAUGGGAGAGACCCCUAACCGACCUCAGGCAUUCUAAUGAUAGAAACACCUGGGCAACCACAGGCAUUCUAAUGGGGGAGACUCCCGGCCAACUUCAGCCAUUCUAAUGGGAGAGACUCCUGGCCGAACCCAAGCAGUCUAAUGAUAAAGACACAUGGGUGACCACAGGCAUUCUAACAGGAAAGACUCCAGGUAGACCCCAGGCUGUCUAAAGAUAGAGACACCUGGGCAACCACAGACAUUCUAAUGGGAGAUACUGCCAGCUGACCCCAGUCAUUCUAAUAAGACAGACACCUGGCUGACCCUGGGCAGUCUAAUGAUAAAGACAUCUGGACGACCCCAGGCAUUCUAAAGGGAGAAACUACUGGCCGACUGCAGGCUGUCUAAUGAUAGAGACAGCUCCUCGAGCUCAGGUAUUCAUGGGAGAGAUUCCCAACUGACAUUAGAAUGGCAGGCAUUCUAAUGAUAGAGACACCUGGGCGACCACAGGUAUUGUAAUGGGAGAGGUUCCCCAUCGUCCACACUCAUUGUAAUGAUGGAGGCACCUGAACGAUCUCAGGUAUUGUCAUGAUAGAGACACCUGUGCGACCCCAGGCACUCAAAUGGGAGAGACUCCCAGCAGACACCAGGCAGUCUAAUGAGAGAGAUUCCUGGCUGAACCCAGGCAGUCAAAUGAUAAAGACAUCUGGGCAAAACCAGGCAUUCUAAAGGGAGAGACUCCUGGCUAACCCCAGGCAGUCUAACAGUAGACACCUGGGCGACCUCAGUCAUUCUAAUGGGAGAGGCUCAGCCCACCCCAGUGAUUCUAAUGGGAGAGACUUGUCUGAUCCCAGGCAGUUUAAGGUUAGAGACUCCUGAGCAACACCCAGGCAUUCUAAUAUGAGAGACUCCCGGCUGACAUAAGGAAGUCUAAAGAUAGAGACACCUGAGCAACCAGAGGCAUUCUAAUGGGAGAGACUCUCAUGCGAUCCCAGGCAGUCUUAUGAUAGAGACACCUAGGCAAUCGCAGGCAUUUUAAUGGGAGAGACUCCCGGUCAUCCAGAGGCAUUGUAAUGAUGGAGACAUCUGGAAGAUGGCAAGCAUUGUAAUGAUAGGGACACCUGUGUGACCCCAGGCACACAAAUGGGAGAAACUCCCAGCCAACACCAGGCAUUCUAAUAAGAGAGAUUCCUGGCUGACCCCAGGUGGUCAAAUGAUAAAGACACGUAAGCGAAACCAGGCAUUCUAAUGAGAGAGACUCCUGGCUAACCCCAGGCAGUCUAAUAAUAGAGACACGUGGGCAACCCCAGUCAUUCUAAUGGGAGAGACUCCCAGCCACCCUCAGUGAUUCUAAUGGAAGAGACUCUUGUCUGACCCUAGGCAGGUGAGAUUCCUGGGCGACUCCAGGCAUUCUAAUAAGACAAAUUCCCAGCCCAAGCAAGACAGUCUAAGGAUACACAGCUGAGCAACAUCAGGCAUUUUAAUGGGAGAGACUCCUGGCUGAAUCCAGACAGUCUAAUUAUACAGACUCCUGGGUGACUGCAGGCAUUCUAAUGAAAGAGACUCCCAGCUGAACCCAGGCAGUGUGAUUAUAGAGACACUUAGGUGACCCCAGACAUUCUAAUGGGAGAGACUCCUGGAUGACCCCAUUCUAAUGAUAGAGACACCUGUGCGACCCCAGGCUGUCUAAUGAUAGAGACAGCUGGGGAACCUGAGGCAUUCUUAUGGGAGAGGCCCAGGGCCAACCCCAGGUAUUCUAAUGAUAGAGACACUGGGCGACACUAGACAUUUUAAUGAGAGAGACAACCAACCAGCCCAAGGCAGUCUAGUGAUACAAACACCUGGUCGACCCCAGGCAUUCUACUGAAAGAAACUCCUGGCCAAACCCUGGCAUUCUAAUGAUAGAGACAAGUGAGCAUUUUAGUAAUAGAGACACCUGGGCUACAACAGGCAUUUUUUUAUGUGAGAGACUCCUGGCAACCCCAGGCAUUCUAAUGGAGAGACUCCUGGCUGACCACAGGCAGUCUAAUGAUAGAGACACUUGAGUGACCCCAGACAUUAUAAUGGAAGAGACUCCUGGCCGACAUCUUGCAGUCUAAUUUAAGUGACAACUGAGUGAACACAGGCAUUCUAAUGGGAGAGACUCCUGGCUGACCAAGGCAGUCUGUGGAUAGAGACACCUGGGUGACCCCAGGCAUUCUAAUGGGAAAGAUUUCUAGUUGACCACUGGCAGUCUAAUUAUAGAGACACAUGGGAGACCCCGGGCAUUCUAAUGAAAGAGACUCCUGGCCAACCCCAGGCAAUCUAAUGAUAGAGGCACCUGGGCGACCCAAGGCAUUCUAAUGGGAGAGACUCCUGGCCAACCUCAGUGAUUGUAAUGGAAAAGACUCUUGUCCGCCUUCAGGCUAUCUAAGGAUAAAAGCUCCUUGGUACCUCCAGGCAUUCUAAUGAGAGGGACUCCCAGCCAAAUCCAGGCAGUCUAAUGAUAGAGACACUUGGGUGACCCCAGGCAUUUUAAUAGGAGAGACUCCUGACCUGCCCCAGGCAGUUUAAUUUUACACACUUCUGGGAGACCCCAGACAUUGUAAUGAAAAAGACCCCCGGCCAACCCCAGGCAGUGUGAUGAUAGAGACAAUUGGGCUACUCCAGGCAUUCUAAUGGGAGAGGCUCCCAGACAACCUUAGGCAUUCUAAUGAUAGAGACACCUCUGUGACUCCAGACAGUCUAAUGGGAGUGACUGCAGUCAAACCCACACAUUCUAAUGGGGGAGACUCCCUGCCAACCUCAGGCAGUUUAAUGAUAGAGAUACCAGGGCGACCCCAGGCAUUGUAAUGAGAGCGACUGCUUGCUGACCUAAGGCAAUGUAAUGAUAGACACACCUGGGAGACCCCAGGCAUUCUAAUGGGAGAGAUUCCUAGUUGACCACAGUCAGUCUAAUUAUACAGACAGCAGGGCUACCCCAGGCAUUCUAAUGGGAUAGGCUCCUGGCCCACCCCAGGCAGUCUAAUGAUAGAGACAUAUAGGCGACCACAAGCAUUCUAAUGAAAGAGACUCCUGGCUGACCCCAGGCAGUCUAAUGAACAGAAGAAACUCCUGGCCAAACCCAGGCAGUCUAAUUAUGCAGAGUCCUGGGAGACCCCAGGCAUUCUAAUGAAAAAGACUCCCAGCCAAACCCAGGCAAAGUGAUAGAGAAACUUGGGUGACUGCAGGCUUUCUAAUGAGACAGACUCCUGGCUGAUCCGAGGCAUUCUAAUGUUAGAGACACUUGGGCGACCCCAGGCAUUAUAAUAUAAUGAUAGAGACACCUUUGCCACCCCAGGCAGUCUAAUGAUAGAGAUACAUUGGCGACCCCAGGGAUUCUAAUAAGAGAGACUCUUGCUUAAACACAGUGAUUCUAAUAGAAGAGACUUGUGUCCUACUCGAGGCAGUCUAAGGAUAGAGACUCCUGGGUGAUCCCAGCAUUCUAAUGGGAGAGACUCCUGGCAGAACCCAGGGAAUCUAAUGAUAGAGACACCAGGGUGACCCCAGACAUUCUAAUGGGUGAGAUUUUUGGCCGACAAUAGGCAGUUCAAUUAUACAGACUCCUGGGCAAUCCCCAGCAUUUUAAUGGGAGACACUACCCAUGGACCCCAGGCAGUCUAAUUAUAGAGACAAUUGAAUGACACCACACAUUCUAAUGGAAGACACUUCCGGAUGACCCAGACAUCCUAAUGAUAGAGACACUUGUGCAACCCCAGCCAGCCUAAUGAUAGAAACACCUGGGCGACUUUAGGCAUUCUUACGGGAGAGACCUCCAGCUGACCCCAGUAAUUCUGAUGAUAGAGACCCCUGGUUGACCCCUGUCAUUCUGAUGGGAGAAACUCCUGGCUGACACAAUGUAGUCUAAUGGUAGAAACAUCUUGGCGACCCCAGGCAUUCUAAUGGGAGAGACUCCUGACAAAACUUUGGCAUUCUAAUGAUAAAGACAAGUGGGCAACCCCAAGCAUUGUAAUGGUAAAGACACCUGGGUGAUCCCAGGAAUUCUAAUGUGAGAGACUCCUGGCCAACCCCAGGCAUUCUAAUAAAGAGACUUCUGUCUGACCACAGGCUGUCUAGUGAUAGAGAUACCAGGGUUACUCCAGGCAUUCUAAUGAAAGAGACUCCUGGCGGACCCCAGACAGUCUAUUUAAAGUGAUAACCUGGGCCACCACAGGCACUCUAAUGGAAGAGACUCCUGGCUGACCCCAGGCAUUCUAAUGGGAGAGAAUCCUGGCCGAACCCAGGCAGCCAAUGGAUAGAGACACCUGAGCAAACCCAGGCAUUCUAAUGAAAGAGACUCCCGGCCGACCCCAGGCAGUCUAAUAAUAGAGACACGUGAGUGGACACAGGCAUUCUAAUAGGAGAGAUUCCUGGCUGACCCAAGCAGUCUAAUUAUAGACACCUGGGUGACUCCAGGCUUUCUAAUAGGAGAAACCCCAGGCUGACCCUAAGCAGUCUGAUGAUAGAGGCUUCUUGGUGACGGCAAGCAUUCUAAUGUGAGAGACUCUCGGCCAACCCCAGGCAUUCUAAUGAUAGAGACAUUUGGGAGCCCCCAGUUAUUUUAAUGAUAGAGACACCUGAGCGACCCUAAGCAUUCUAAUGGGAGACAACAAGGCUGAAACCAGGCUUUCUAAUGGGGAGACACCUGGCUGAUCCCCAACAGUCUAAUCAUAAAAAACACCUGGAUGACUCCAGUCAUUUUAAUGGCAGAGACUCCCGGUCUACCCCAGGUGUUUUAAUGGGGAGACUUCUGACCGACCCCAGGCAGUCUAAUCAUAAAGACAGCUGGGCUAAGCCAGACAGUCUAAUGAAAGAGAUUGCCAGCCGAACACUGGCUGUUUAAUUAUAAAGACACUUGGGCAAUCCCAGGCGUUCCAAUGGAGGAGACUCCCAGCUGACCACAAGCAGUCUAAUGGUAUUGACACCUGGAAGUCCCAAGACAUUCUAAUGGAAGAGAUUCCCGUCCUACCACAGGCAUUCUAAUGAUAGAGAUACCUGGGCCACCCCAGGCAUUCUAAUGGGAGAGACUCCUGGCUGACAACAGACAGUCUAAUGAUAGAGAAACUUGGGCGAACCCAGUAUUCUGAUUGGAGAGAUUCUAGGCAGUCUGAUAGUGACAACUGGGCAACUACAGGCAUUCUAAUGGGAGAGGCUAAUGGCUGACCACAGGCAUUUUAAUUGGAGAGAAUCCUGACUGACCCAAGGAAAUUUAAGGAUAGAGACACCCGGGUGAUCCCAGACAUUCUAACGGGAGAGACUCCUGACCGACACCAGACAGUCUAAUUACAGAGACACUUGGGCUAUCCCAGGCAUUCUACUGAAAGUGACUCCCGUUUGACUCCAGGCAGUCUAAUGAUAGAAAUACCUGGUUGACUUCAGGCAUUGUAAUGGGAGAGACCCCCAUCCAAUCCCAGGCAGUCUAAUGAUAGAGACAGCUGGGCGACCCCAGGCGUUCUAAUAGAGUAUCGGCUAACCACAGGCAGUCUAAUGAGAGAGACAACGUGGAGACCUGAUUCAUUCUAAUCAAAGAGACUCCCAGCGAACCCCAGUCAUUCUAGUAAAAGAGACACUUGUCCGACUUCAGGCAGUCUAAGUAUAGAGACUGCGGGGCAACCCCACACAUUCUAAUGGGAGAGAGUCUGGGCCAAACCCAGGCAGUCUAAUUAUAGGACACGUGAGCGACCAAACUCAUUCUAAUGGGAGAAACUCCUGGCGGGCCCCAUGCCACCUAAUGAUAGAGACACUUGGACGACCCCAGGCAUUCUAAUGGGAAAGAUUCUUGGCCGACCCCAUGCUGCCUAAUGAUAGAGACAUCUGAGUGAACCCAGGCAUUCUAAUGAGAGAUGCUCCUUGCCUAUUCCAGGCAUUCUAAUGACAGAGACACCUGGGCAACCCCAGGCAUUGUAAUGAUACAGACAUGUGGGCGAUUUCAGGCAUUCUAAUGAAAGAGACUCCCUGCGGACCCAGGCAUUCUAAUGAGAGAGACUCUCAGCCGAUCUCAGGCAGUCUAAUGAUAGAGACACUGGAGUGACCAAAAGGAUUUUAAUAAAAGAGACUACCGGGCAACCACAGGCACAGACAAUCUAAUAAUAGAGACACCUGGGUGACUUUAGACAUUUCAGUGGGAGAGACUCCCAGCCGGCCCCGAGCAAUCUAAUGAUAGAGACACCUGGGAAACCUCAUGUAUUCUAAUGGGAGAAACUUUUGGCUGGCCCCAGACAUUCUAAUGGGAGAGACUGCUGGCCGACCCCAGGCAGUCUAAUGAUAGAGACACCUUGGCCACCCCCGUAUUCUAAAGGGAGAGACUAUUGACAGUCCCCAGAUUUUUUAAUGAUACAGACACCUGCGUGAGCCUAAGCAUUUUAAAAGGAGAGACUCUUGGUGACCACAGACAUUCUAAUAAUAGAGACACCUUGGCGAUUCCAGUCAUUCUAAUAGGAAAGACUCUCUUCUGAACCCAGGCAUUGUCUUGGGAGAUAAUCCUGGCUGAACCCAGACAGUCUAAUUAUAAAGACACCUGGGCAAGCCUAGGCAUUCUAAUGGGAGAUACCUCCCCAGUGUCCCCAGGCAGUCUAAUGAUAGAGACACCUUGACGACCACAGGCAUUAUUAUGAGAGACACACUUUGCCAAACUCAGGCAGUCUAAUGCUAGAGACAAUUGGGCGACAAGCAUUCUAGCGGGAAAAACUCCCGGCUGACCCCAGGCAUUGUAAUAAAAGAAAAGCCUGAGUGAUCCCAGCCAUUUUCAUGGGAGAGACACUUGUUCGACCCCAGGCAUUCUUAUGGGAGGGACUACUGGCCAACACCAGACAGUCUAAUAAAAAAGACAUGUAGAUGACCCCAUGCAUUCUUUUUUUUUCACACUUUAAAUACUUUAUUUAUAUAAAAACUCAUUUGUUUUUAAAAGCAUUAACAAGACAGAAAGAAAAGAGAAAAAGUAUGGAGCAGAACACAAGCCCGUUAGCAGUGUUCGGUGGGAAGGUGGGAUUUUUGGUUCUCUGGAAUUGAAUGUUUAGUGUUUUUAUAAACAAAAGAGGAAAAAAAAGUUAAAGGUCCCCAAAAGCCCAUGGCUAUCCUAUUACCCAUACCCCACUGAGAAGGGAGGGGGCAGGGAUAGCAUUAGGAGAUAUACCUAAUGCUAAAUGACGAGUUAAUGGGUGCAGCACACCAACAUGGCACAUGUAUACGUAUGUAACAAACCUGCACGUUGUGCACAUGUACCCUAAAACUUAAAGUAUAAUAAUAAUAAAAUUAAAUA